GUUCACCACUUUGUGUGUCCAAGGACCACCUACUUUUUACAUGUGACAAGAACUACCCACCUCCACUCUUCAGGAUAGAACAUGCUGAAGAAAAGAGUUGCAAUGAGAAAAUAUAUGGGAACAAAAUACCUAUGCAAUGCAGAAGUCUGCAUAACUGAACCACUCAGAGGAAAAAGAAUCAAUGAGACAAUAAUUAUAAGACACGAGCAUACAAUAAGCCAAUUCUUGAGAAGUGGAUUUUAUUCUUCUUCAGUCAAUAUGGAAUCAGGAUGAUUGACAGUGUAUUGAAAUUUCAUUUUUAUGACACUUUUAAAACUGUCAUUUCUGGAAUAGUAGAGUUAAAGAUCUGCAAUAAAAUAAAAAACUACUGUUUACAGCAAUCAGAGAAGUA
rnacentral:lncRNA from 1 species